GAUGAACGCUGGCGGCGUGCCUAAUACAUGCAAGUCGAGCGAACGGACGAGAAGCCUGCUUCUCUGAUGUUAGCGGCGGACGGGUGAGUAACACGUGGAUAACCUACCUAUAAGACUGGGAUAACUUCGGGAAACCGGAGCUAAUACCGGAUAAUAUUUUGAACCGCAUGGUUCAAAAGUGAAAGACGGUCUUGCUGUCACUUAUAGAUGGAUCCGCGCUGCAUUAGCUAGUUGGUAAGGUAACGGCUUACCAAGGCAACGAUGCAUAGCCGACCUGAGAGGGUGAUCGGCCACACUGGAACUGAGACACGGUCCAGACUCCUACGGGAGGCAGCAGUAGGGAAUCGUACGCAAUGGGCGAAAGCCUGACGGAGCAACGCCGCGUGAGUGAUGAAGGUCUUCGGAUCGUAAAACUCUGUUAUUAGGGAAGAACAUAUGUGUAAGUAACUGUGCACAUCUUGACGGUACCUAAUCAGAAAGCCACGGCUAACUACGUG
rnacentral:rRNA from 1 species